UACGUAGGGGGCAAGCGUUGUCCGGAAUUAUUGGGCGUAAAGAGCUCGUAGGCGGUCUGUCGCGUCGGCUGUGAAAACUCGGGGCUCAACUCCGAGCUUGCAGUCGAUACGGGCAGGCUAGAGUUCGGCAGGGGAGGACUGGAAUUCCUGGUGGUAGCGGUGAAAUGCGCAGAUAUCAGGAGGAACACCGGUGGCGAAGGCGGGUCUCUGGGCAGUAACUGACGCUGAGGAGCGAAAGCGUGGGGAGCGAACAGG
rnacentral:rRNA from 1 species